AUGUUUUUCACCAAGCCAUCUUACAAAAGCCUGCUUGAUAGGUCAGCCAUCCUGGUCUGUACCGUGGUCUCUCCUAACCUUGUGAGUGCUCAGAUCACUUGGCUUGUGGACAACAAGCCCAGCACAGAUGCUGCGAAUGAGAUGGUGACGAUGGACACUUAUGGAAGUCAGAUGUUGAGAAGCAACCACUCAGUGUCUUUGGAGCAGUGGACCAAGGGCACCAUCUUCACCUGUAAAGUAAGCGGGAGCUGCUUUGAAGAACACCAAAAGGACAUCACCCUCAAGAAGGCUACUCAUCAAGUAAAAACUCCUGCCAUCCUUCCACUUUGGCCCUGCUGUAGUUCCAUCAAGGAAGAUACUAGUAUGGUAACUUUUACUUGCCUGCUUAUUGAACAUGGCACACAGUCUUUGAAAAUCACGUGGGAACCUGAUAAUCCAGAAACACAAAAGGAGUGGACUGGAAUGGUAGGGGAAAGCAGUAAACUGGAACGGUACACAACAAGCCAACUCACCGUCUCUUCCUCCAGCUCCUCCAAACAUCAAUACAAAUGCUUUGUAAAAGAUAAGAAUGAUCUUCCCCCGGUACUCUUCACAAACAAACAUUGCUUUUUGCAACCUCUGAAACCGGUUGAUGUUCAGAUCUUAACCCCCAGUUGUGGCAUACAAAACUCAGUGGUCAAUGUGGAGCUGGUCUGCUUCCUGAGGAGCCUGAGUGGUGGAAAAGCCGAGGUGGAAUGGCUGAAGAAUGGAGUACAGGUGCAAGAGAAAGAAGAGGUGGUAUUGAGAUCCGUUGUAGGGAAGGGCAGUGGUUACUCCAGUUUCACCCAACUGAACAUCAGCAGAGAGAGUUGGGACAAAGGGGACCUCUACACCUGUAAAGUGACGCGCCCGCCAGGCAGUCAAAACAUCACAAUGCACAAUGCCAGCAAAUGUCAAGGUGAGUGUUACCACCCUGAAGUAUCAAGAGCUUAUGGGCUAUAG